AACUUUGAGCCCAAGGGUUUAUUUUCUGGAGAAAGAUCAAUCAACUCUCAAGUAUGGUUGCUCAAGAUUGAAUCUAUCUUACUAUUGACAGCCUCUUUCCAAAAAGGAUGAGUCCUUAGAAGACAUAGCUUCUUCGAAUACGUGGACUCAUUUUCAAGAAGAAAUUGUCACGCCCCGAGCCUACACCUUAGACGUGGCCGGCACUCGAGAACCAUUGAUAGCCCCAAGCGAACCCUUGGUCUGGCUCAACUCUCAGCGGAAG
rnacentral:lncRNA from 1 species